CUCCCUCUCCUCUCCACUACUAAUACCACCACCGCCGCGCCGGAGGUGGAAGACGGACGGGGUAGAGUUGGGGUCUCGCGGUGAGCCGAUUCCUCUCUAGUGGUCGCGCCUGGUGUGUUCGCCGACGACGCCGGCGUCGCGUCAGCCAUGGGUGGGCUCGAGGAGAUCAAGAAUGAGGCCGUUGAUCUGGUGAGAAAAUCACUCGCCGCCACCAGCUACCUACUACUUCUUCUUCCUCGCUUCCUCCCUCUCGCGUGUUGGGUUGCUUAGGCUUUAGCUCUAGCUUUAGUUCUUACCAUUUUUGACUGGCGAUAGAAAUAGUCUGAGAAUUGAAAAUUAAUGAUACCGGCUAGCUGGAGCUGAGUAGAUUUCUGAUACGCUUAAUAAAUGAAAAGGAAAAUUUUCCAUGU
rnacentral:sRNA from 1 species